AUGAUCCAUUUGGGACACAAUGUGUCGGCUUUCCCAGAAACUUGGCACCUCGCCCCCCCCCCCCCAGUCCCCAGGAGCAGGGCCCGUCGGGGCGCUCCGCGGGGUGGGGCGGGCGCGGAGGGGCUGGUGCCCCCCCCCAGCCCCCGGCUCUCCCCGACGCCCCCCUACCCCCUCCCCAGGAGCAGGGCCCGUCGGGGACACUCGGUGGGGCGGCCGCGGAGAGGCUGGUGCCCCCCCCGCCCCCGGCUCUCCCCGAUGCCUCCCUCCCCCCCAGGAGCAGGGCCCGGCGGGGCGCUCGGCGGGGCGCGGAGGGCGCGGAGCGGCCGGUGCCCCCCCCACCGCUCUCCCCGACGCCCCCUCCCCAGCCCGCAGGCCCCAGCGCCGGGGGGCCCGCGCCUCUGCAAGCUGAGCCUCCGCGGGCCGCGACCUGCUCCCCGGCCCCUCCCCGGGCUCCGCCGCGCGCCCCCACGACGGCUCGGCCCGGCCCGGCCCGGGAGCCCUGCGCGCCCGCGGCGCCCGGCGGAGGAGAGCGGUGCCCGCGCUGCCGCCGUCCGCGGGGUCCGCGGGGUCCGCGGGGUCCGCGUCCCGCUCCCGCCCCCGCCCCCCACCCAGCUCCCUCCCGGGGUAAGGGGGCGCCGCGCGGGGAAACAAAGCGGAGCGGAGGGGAGGCGGGACGGCGGGCCGGGCCGGGCCGCCCGCAGAGGAGGCGGCCGCCGGGAGCGGCGACGGGGCAGGGGCAGGGGCCGGGGCAGGGGCCGGGGCAGGGGCCGGGGCAGGGACCGGGGCCGGGGCGCACCCUCCCGCCCGCCGCCGCCCGCGCCCCUUACCUCGGCUCCAGCGCCCGCCGCCCGCCGGCCUCCCGGCUGCUCCCGCCCCGCCCGCUGCGCCCCCGGCCCGGGGCCCCGCGGGCACGCCGGCGGCGCGGGGCUCGAGAGGUCGCCGCGUCCCUCGGUCCUCCCGGCGGCCGCGGCGGCCCUCGCCCUGCGCGCAGCGCCUGUGGCGGCGAGAGGGGCCGCGCCUCCUCCCGGGCCGCUCGGCCCGCCUCCCUCCCCGCCCAGCCCUCCCCUCCGCCCCGGCCCCUCCCCGGCCCGCGCCGAGCCCCCGCCGCCCGGCCCCGACCGUCGCCUCGCGGGCUGGCUCAGGGACGCGCCCAGCGCGCACAGCGGCCCUCCCCGGCUCUCCGCGCCCCUCCGAGCCCGGGCUCCAGGGCCUUCCCCGGGGAGCUGA
rnacentral:lncRNA from 1 species